UUCUCCCCCCCCCUUAAUAGAAUUCGUCCUCGAAUUCUUAGUUGCGCAAUUGCUUAGCUUCACGAAAUGUUCCUCCUUGAUGUGUAGUGAUGAUGUUCAGCUUUUGAAUAACUUCGUCUUGCGGUCUUGGUCAUAAGAUAUGGUUCUUUGCUGGCUCCCCUUUCUCUCGGUUUCUUUAGGUCUCCAUGAACACUUUGGAUUUUGAACUUGCUCCACCUUGAUAACAACUCCUCCAUAACUCCUAGUUACAUAACUUUGUCUUGAUCACUAGAUGUGCUUCUUUAUCGGUUGGCCUUAGAUAUCUCCCCUUGAUUUCUUCAGUCUUCUUCUAGAUUUUCUGAUUCUGAACUCGCUCCAUCUUAAUCCAUCUCCAUGCAUUUCCUCGGUCUUGAAUCCUUUCAUUUCUUCACUUCUUGAUUUCUCAUGCUUCACUUAAUCUCAACUCGUCUUCAUAACUCUUUACUUUGUUUGGCCAUGUCCCUUUGUGUAUACUGUCUAAAGUCGCCAUAAUCGUCUUCAUAU
rnacentral:lncRNA from 1 species